AUUGAACGCUGGCGGCAGGACUAACACAUGCACUUCGGGCGAGCGGCGGACGGGUGAGUAAUGACUGGGUCUCUGCCUGAUGGAGGGGGAUAACUACCGGAAACGGUAGCUAAUACCGCAUACCAUCCGAUGACCACAUAUGGGAUUAUCUAGUAGGUGAGGUAACGGCUCACCUAGCGGACGAUCCCUAGCUGGUCUGAGAGGAUGAUCAGCCACACUGGGAAUGGGACACGGCCCAGACUCCUACGGGAGGCAGCAGGGGGGAAUAUUGCACAAUGGGCGCAAGCCUGAUGCAGCCAUGCCGGGUGUAGGAAGAAGGCCUUCGGGUUGUAAAGUACUUUCAGUCGGGAGGCGUUACCGACAGAAGAAGCACCGGCUAACUCCGUGCCAGCAGCCGCGGUAAUAC
rnacentral:rRNA from 1 species